ensembl:lncRNA
GCAGCUCCAUCCCGCACAGCCCGCUGAUGUCUGCGGCCGUCCGAGCCCACGGCGGGACGUCCCCGUCCGGGUGGCGGAUCCCCAGGGCUGUGCGGUGCUUCCCCUGCAUUCAGCACAGCGAUCCCAGCCCUUAUCCCUGCCCCGGCGCUGCCCGGCGUGGCCCCGUGGCGCAGCGCGGACCCCCAAUUGCUCACGGACACCCGACGGGGCGGUGGGAUUCGGGGGCGAGCUGAGGCUGACAUCAGAAAAUUCAUCCGUGGAGAGGAUUUCUUCAUCCACGGAAAGAAAAGGACUUCUUGUGCCCACCUCCCCCUUAAGGCUCAGCUCUGAGAGGCAUCCCAGUCACUGUAGGUACAGACAGUGGGAAAGGAGACUCCACAAACCCCAGCUCUUGGGACCCAGCCAUGGCACAGCACAACCCGGUGCUAUUGGGGUGAGCACCUCCGAGCAGUGCUGCCUUUUAGGAUGAGCGCAGGGCUCACAGGAGCAGCACAAACCCGUGGUGCUCCUUUAGGAGCCCAGCACACGGAUUGCUGCUGGCGGCGGACUUUGACCUCUGGAAGACCAACGGGAAAAGCUCAAUCCACAAAUCCCAAGGACUUUUCGUCUCGUUACACAACACGGCAGUCAGGUGGGUGCUGGCCAUUUGUUUGGUGUUCUCGUUGCGUUUGGAUACCAGGCACUUGCUUUGAAGCAGGGACUUGUAAAGAGAAAGAUGCAGUGGGUACGUAUGCAUCCAGCAUGCAGAAGGUGAAAUAUUUCUGCUUGGACUUAAGGUCCCUAACCUAAACAUGUCCGGCCAUGGCAGAACCCAAACCUGGCAGGUGAGUAUUGGAGUUCUUAUGUUCAUGAUGUGGGUCCAGAACAACCACGGUUGACUACAAGAGUAGGGAGUGAGAGGAGCCCUUUUCAGGAGCAACACUGAAGGGUGGGAGGUCUGCAGUGAAGGUACAGCAGGAGGCAGAGCCCAGAGCCCGCAGGCUGAGAACUUCUGCUCACCUUCUUUCCAGUUAUUGGAACACGGAGGGUGGGCAAAUAGCAACUUAAAUGAUAAGCAGCCACCUCGUAGUGCUCUGCAUGAAGCAGAGUUCACAGACAUUCGGAGCAAGGCGUUAUUAGGGUUCUGAAAGGAUGGGCAUCACUCAGCUGAAAGUAAAUGUUAACAUCUACAAGGUGAGCUUCUAGAAGGGUGAUCAUCCAUCGGUCUCAGGGCACAAGCCACACUCUGCCUCGUGGGGCUUAGGGGAGGUUCCUGCAAGGUGCCCAACACCUGGAGAGUUCCAAGGGAGCGAGGGGCUGUGCCUACCCAUAACAACACCAAAUACUGAGAGCAGCUGUGAGCCGAGACAGCCAUGGCUGUGCCUGGGCAGGGAGAGGUUCAGGAGGGGCGGAGGAGAGCCACGACUGGCAGGCCAAGCAAUGGUAGCUGCACACACAGCGGGUUCACUGCGGGCUUUUUGCAUCCCCACCUUCCUGGAUGUGUGCUCCAAUUCACAAGAGGUACUCUGGUUAUUCCGUGACACAAGGCGGGGUAAGAAGCUCGCUCUGACCUCAUCUUUUGCCCUACUUCCUUAUCUCGGAAUCUGGUGCACAGUGCCACACUUGUUCUCCCACAUAGUUUCCUUCACUGCCCUUCUCCUGGUGGGGACGGAGUUACGGAGCAGUGCUUCGUGGGGCACUUACUCUGCACAGCUCCCCAGGUGGGGAUGCAGCUCACGCAGCCAAAAGUGCUCCUUCAGCUGCCUCCUUUAAAGGCAAACUACACCGGUAGGGAUUGCACACCUGGAGCUGAACCAGAAUCCUGCAUACAAGACCCCCACUCAGCAGGAAAGCAGCCC